UACGUAGGGUGCGAGCGUUAAUCGGAAUUACUGGGCGUAAAGCGUGCGCAGGCGGCGUGUCAAGUCAGAUGUGAAAGCCCCGGGCUCAACCCGGGAACGGCGUUUGAAACUGGCAGGCUAGAGUUUGGCAGAGGGGGGUGGAAUUCCACGUGUAGCAGUGAAAUGCGUAGAGAUGUGGAGGAAUACCGAUGGCGAAGGCAGCCCCCUGGGAUGAUACUGACGCUCAUGCACGAAAGCGUGGGGAGCAAACAGG
rnacentral:rRNA from 1 species